ACCAAAACACAAACCUGUGUCCAGCGCUCCCUUACGCCUCACGGUAUGUCAGAUCGCAGUGUUUUCCGCUCGGAGUUGCAACUAACAGUCUCGCAGGUGUCUAAGGUCGAGUACUGCGACAGUUCGGCCGGCUAUGCACAGGGGAGACAAUACACUUUGUGUACGUGCCUCUGUGCGGCCGACAGGUAUUUCAGAACCACAGCGGGUCGUCUGAACGGUUCCUUGGGGCUUUGCUUCAGGUUGAGCCGGGAGGGCGGCUUUGCGGCGCGUUACAUUCCUAGUUUCCACAGAAUUACUCCAUUGGAGGCUGAAGAUAGGAGACACAACCGUAACAGCGUACAUAC
rnacentral:sRNA from 1 species